rnacentral:rRNA from 1 species
GAUGAACGCUGGCGGCGUGCCUAAUACAUGCAAGUCGAACGGGGAGUAGCAAUACUCUUAGUUGCGAACGGGUGAGUAACGCGUUGGUACCUGCCCCGAAGCGGUGGAUAACGGACCGAAAGGUCCGCUAAUACCCCAUGUGCUCGGUAACGAGUAAAGGUGAAAACCACUUUGGGUGGGGCCUGCGUCCCAUCAUCUAGUUGGUAAGGUAACGGCUUACCAAGGCGAUGACGGGUAGGGGACCUGCGAGGGUGGCCCCCCAAAAUGGACGGAAACACGGUACAUAAACCUACGGGUGGCAGCAGUAGGGAAUAUUGGAAAUGGGCGCAAGCCUGAACCAGCAACGCAGCGUGUGAGAUGACGGCCUUCGGGUUGUAAAGCACUUUUGACUGGGACGAGGAAGGACGGUACCGGUGGAAUCAGCCUCGGCUAACUACGUG